rnacentral:misc_RNA from 1 species
UCUCCGUUGGUGAACCAGCGGAGGGAUCACUACCGAGUUUACAACUCCCAAACCCAAUGUGAACGUUACCAAACUGUUGCCUCGGCGGGGUCACGCCCCGGGUGCGUCGCAGCCCCGGAACCAGGCGCCCGCCGGAGGAACCAACCAAACUCUUUCUGUAGUCCCCUCGCGGACGUUAUUUCUUACAGCUCUGAGCAAAAAUUCAAAAUGAAUCAAAACUUUCAACAACGGAUCUCUUGGUUCUC